UAUUGCACAAUGGGGGAAACCCUGAUGCAUCGACGCCGCGUGAAGGAAGAAGAAUUUCGGUAUGUAAACUUCUAUCAGCAGGGAAGAAAAUGACGUUACCUGACUAAGAAGCCCCGGCUAACUACGUGCCAGCAGCCGCGGUAAUACGUAGGGGGCAAGCGUUAUCCGGAUUUACUGGGUGUAAAGGGAGCGUAGACGGCUGUGCAAGCCAGAUGUGAAAGCCCGGGGCUCAACCCCGGGACUGCAUUUGGAACUGUGUGGCUGGAGUGUCGGAGAGGCAGGCGGAAUUCCUAGUGUAGCGGUGAAAUGCGUAGAUAUUAGGAGGAACACCAGUGGCGAAGGCGGCCUGCUGGACGAUGACUGACGUUGAGGCUCGAAAGCGUGGGGAGCAAACAGG
rnacentral:rRNA from 1 species